rnacentral:misc_RNA from 1 species
UCAAACUUGGUCAUUUAGAGGAAGUAAAAGUCGUAACAAGGUCUCCGUUGGUGAACCAGCGGAGGGAUCAUUAUAGGGUCCUGUUAGGCUCAACCAAACCGUGCUCCAUAACCUAUUCUCUGCUGAGGCAGGGCCGCUCGCCGGGGGAGCCAGCGGCCGGGACGAUAUUCUCGGUGGUCUUGCCAAAGCACCAAGAGAAAACUCUUUUUUCAAAAGCCGUCUCCGCGGCAAAGCAACUCGGAGAACAUAAAGCAAAACAAAAGCUUACAACUCAUAACAAUGGAUCUCUUGGCUCUGGCAUCGAUGAAGAACGCAGC